rnacentral:rRNA from 1 species
GACGAACGCUGGCGGCGUGCUUAACACAUGCAAGUCGAACGGAAAGGCCCUGCUUUUGUGGGGUGCUCGAGUGGCGAACGGGUGAGUAACACGUGAGUAACCUGCCCUUGACUUUGGGAUAACUUCAGGAAACUGGGGCUAAUACCGGAUAGGAGCUCCAGCUGCAUGGUGGGGGUUGGAAAGUUUCGGCGGUUGGGGAUGGACUCGCGGCUUAUCAGCUUGUUGGUGGGGUAGUGGCUUACCAAGGCUUUGACGGGUAGCCGGCCUGAGAGGGUGACCGGCCACAUUGGGACUGAGAUACGGCCCAGACUCCUACGGGAGGCAGCAGUGGGGAAUAUUGCACAAUGGGCGGAAGCCUGAUGCAGCAACGCCGCGUGCGGGAUGACGGCCUUCGGGUUGUAAACCGCUUUCGCCUGUAACGAAGCGUGAGUGACGGUAAUGGGUAAAGAAGCACCGGCUAACUACGUG